ensembl:lincRNA Pantr1 POU domain, class 3, transcription factor 3 adjacent noncoding transcript 1
GAUGGGAUUUUCUCAUCUACUGCUCCAGUUCACAUACUGCGAGGUACUAGCUUUGAUGAGAUCUGGUUUUCUGGAAAAAAAAAAAAAGGGAGAAGGAACUCAGUGAAUAUUGCCCUGGGUCCUGGUAAUUCCACCUACUGAAGACAACUGCCCCUUCUGCUCAUAUUUCCUGAGUCAACAUGGCCGUUCCUAACUUUGAAGAGACUUUAGACAUUCUUUGUUACAAUGAACCUAGAAGAAAGAAGAGAAAUAAUAACCGCCAUGGAAGGAUGCUCCUCCUGCCAAUUGGCACUUAUCAAUGACAUCGAGGGAGAGGGACAGAGUGCCUAGGUAUGAGCCUUCAUCAAGUGGUAUGAAGGCCCUACUCCAACAGAAAGUGCUGAUGUGAAGAAAUGGUGCUUUGGACAAGACUUUUCCUCCAAGUUGGUCCUAUCCAGGGGUUGGCAAACAGGGUCCCUGGACAUCAUGCCUGUUGUGUACUCUUAUGAAUAAAGUUCUAUAGGACAC